GUGCUUGCUUCUGCAGCACAUAUUCUAAAACUGGAAUGAUCCAGAGAGGCUGAGCAUGGCCCUUUGCAAGGAUGAUGCACAAAUUCAUGUGUUCCAUAUUUUU
rnacentral:snRNA from 1 species